UACGUAGGGCGCAAGCGUUGUCCGGAAUUAUUGGGCGUAAAGAGCUCGUAGGCGGUCUGUCGCGUCCGUUGUGAAAACUCGAGGCUCAACCUCGGGCUUGCAGUGGAUACGGGCAGACUAGAGUGCGGUAGGGGAGACUGGAAUUCCUGGUGUAGCGGUGGAAUGCGCAGAUAUCAGGAGGAACACCGAUGGCUAAGGCAGGUCUCUGGGCCGCAACUGACGCUGAGGAGCGAAAGCAUGGGGAGCGAACAGG
rnacentral:rRNA from 1 species